GACGUAGGGUCCAAGCGUUGUCCGGAUUUACUGGGCGUAAAGAGCGCGUAGGCGGUCUGUUAAGUGUAGAGUGAAAUCUCCAGGGCUCAACCCGGAAACUGCUCUGCAUACUGGCAGACUGGAGUGAUGCAGAGGUUUGUGGAAUUCCUGGUGUAACGGUGAAAUGUGUUGAUAUCAGGAGGAACACCCAUGGCGAAGGCAGCAAACUGGGCAGUAACUGACGCUGAGGCGCGAAAGCGUGGGUAGCAAACAGG
rnacentral:rRNA from 1 species